rnacentral:siRNA from 1 species
UACUAGGAUGGGUGACCUCCCA